UCCGGUUACUAGUCCAACGCUCUAACCACUAGGCUACCCUGCCGCCCCAGCGAUCUGCAAUGGCCCUACUGUAGCAAUAGCACAAAAUAUUUUUUUGAAAACUCAAUUGUACCUUUUACCUGAGACAGAUAUCAUUUUAACAGUUCAACAUCUUACAUAACUAAAUAUUUUUCCAGUUAAGGAGGACAGCACUGCACUUUGCCUCCAUCGAGGGACACUCUACCGUCAUCCAGAAGCUUCUAGAGAAAGGAGCUAACAUCAAUUCUAAAGACCGGCUGGAGUCCAGAGCUGUUCACUGGGCCUGUAGAGGAGGAAGCCUGGCUGUGAUCGAGGUCCUCCAGAAACAUGGAGCAGACCUCAACAUCAGGGACAAGGUGAGGCGUGGGUGUGUGUGUUCCAGCUGGAGUCCAGAGCUGUUCACUGGGCCUGUAGAGGAGGAAGCCUGGCUGUGAUCGAGGUCCUCCAGAAACAUGGAGCAGACCUCAACAUCAGGGACAAGGUGAGACGUGGGUGUGUGUGUUCCAGCUGGAGUCCAGAGCUGUUCACUGGGCCUGUAGAGGAGGAAGCCUGGCUGUGAUCGAGGUCCUCCAGAAACAUGGAGCAGACCUCAACAUCAGGGACAAGGUGAGACGUGGGUGUGUGUGUUCCAGCUGGAGUCCAGAGCUGUUCACUGGGCCUGUAGAGGAGGAAGCCUGGCUGUGAUCGAGGUCCUCCAGAAACAUGGAGCAGACCUCAACAUCAGGGACAAGGUGAGACGUGGGUGUGUGUGUUCCAGCUGGAGUCCAGAGCUGUUCACUGGGCCUGUAGAGGAGGAAGCCUGGCUGUGAUCGAGGUCCUCCAGAAACAUGGAGCAGACCUCAACAUCAGGGACAAGGUGAGACGUGGGUGUGUGUGUUCCAGCUGGAGUCCAGAGCUGUUCACUGGGCCUGUAGAGGAGGAAGCCUGGCUGUGAUCGAGGUCCUCCAGAAACAUGGAGCAGACCUCAACAUCAGGGACAAGGUGAGACGUGGGUGUGUGUGUUCCAGCUGGAGUCCAGAGCUGUUCACUGGGCCUGUAGAGGAGGAAGCCUGGCUGUGAUCGAGGUCCUCCAGAAACAUGGAGCAGACCUCAACAUCAGGGACAAGCUGAUGGCCAGCCCUCUCCAUGUGGCCACCAGGACAGGCCAUUCUGAUGUAGUGGGACACCUGCUGAACAGUGGAGCCAAAAUCAACGCCAGAGACAGGGAGGGGGACACUCCUCUGCAUGAUGCUGUGCGUCUGGGCAGAUAUAAGAUACUCAAGCUGCUCAUUGUUGGAGGGGCUGAUACAAGGCUCAAAAACCAUGAGGGCUUUACAGCAGUGGAGCAGGUGAAAGAGUGGCAGUUUGACACCAAGGAGACUCUGGAGAAACUGGACCAGCUGAGGGAGGUGGGUCUGGUACCCCCACUGUUACCUAACUUACCAGACCACCAAAUCUGCCUUCAGCCCUAAACCUACACAUCCCACUGGUACAUACCUAACCAGACCACCAAAUCAGCCUUCAUCGCGAAACCUCUACAUCCCACUGCUACAUACCUAACCAGAGUCACCAAAUCAGCCUUCAGCCCUAAACCUCCACAUCCCAAUGGUACCUAACUUACCAGACCACCAAAUCAGCCUUCAGUCCUAAACCUCCACAUCCCACUGGUACAUACCUAACCAGACCACCAAAUCAGCCUUCAGUCCUAAACCUCCACAUCCCACUCUUACCUAACUUACCAGACCACCAAAUCAGCCUUCAGCCCUAAACCUCCACAUCCCACUGUUACCUAACUUACCAGACCACCAAAUCAGCCUUCAGCUCUAAACCUCCUAUCCCACUGGUACAUACCUAACCAGAUCACCAAAUCUGCCUUCAGCCCUAAACAUCCACAUCCCACUGGUACAUACCUAACCAGACCACCAAAUCAGCCUUCAGCCCUAAACCUCCACAUCCCACUGGUACAUACCUAACCAGAUCACCAAAUCAGCCUUCAGCCCUAAACCUCCACAUCCCACUGGUACAUACCUAACCAGACAACCAAAUCAGCCUUCAGCCCUAAACCUCCACAUCCCACUGGUACAUACCUAACCAGACCACCAAAUCAGCCCUAAACCUCCACAUCCCACUGGUACAUACCUAACCAGACCACCAAAUCAGCCUUCAGCCCUAAACCUCCACAUCCCACUGGUACAUACCUAACCAGACCACCAAAUCAGCCCUAAACCUCCACAUCCCACUGGUACAUACGUAACCAGAUCACCAAAUCAGCUUUCAGCCCUAAACCUCCACAUCCCACUGGUACAUACCUAACCAGACCACCAAAUCAGCCCUACACCUCCACAUCCCACUGGUACAUACCUAACCAGAUCACCAAAUCAGCCUUCAGCCCUAAACCUCCUAUCCCACAUCCCACUGGUACAUACCUAACCAGACCACCAAAUUAGCCCUAAACCGCCACAUCCCACUGGUACAUACCUAACCAGACCACCAAAUCAGCCCUAAACCCCCACAUCCCACUGGUACAUACCUAACCAGACCACCAAAUUAGCCCUAAACCGCCACAUCCCACUGGUACAUACCUAACCAGACCACCAAAUCAGCCCUAAACCCCCACAUCCCACUGGUACAUACCUAACCAGACCACCAAAUUAGCCCUAAACCGCCACAUCCCACUGGUACAUACCUAACCAGACCACCAAUCAGCCCUAAACCUCCUAUCCCACUGGUACAUACCUAACCAGACCACCAAAUCAGCCCUAAACCUCCACAUCCCACUGGUACAUACCUAACCAGACUACCAAAUCAGCCCUAAACCUCCUAUCCCACUGGUACAUACCUUACCAGACACCACCAUUUCAGCCCCUGACUGGGUGCAUAGGGCUUAACUUCAACUCCCAUCCUGGACAGGCACAGCGUGUGCAGGCUUUUGAGUCCUCUUAGAAAAAAUAGUGCUAUCUUGAACCUAAAAAGGUUAUUUGGCUGUCCCCAUAUCCUAUUUGGUUCCAGGUAGAACCCUUUCCACAGAGGGCUGUACAUGGAACCCAAAAGAUUUCAAUCUGGAACCAAAAACGGUUCUCCAAUGGGGACAUUUUGUAACCCUUUUUUCUACAAGUGUAAAUCAAAACUAGACGAUGAAGUGAGGUUUGUGCCCAGUGGGCUACUGCAUAUUUGAUCAAGUCAUUUCAAUGCAGACCUACAGUCAUGGCAAACUCUCAUCAUCUUGUUUUCUGGUUAUAUUUGAUGUAACAGGAUCGUACUGUUACAGUAGUGGCCUGAUAAUAUAUGCUCUACUCUCCUAGUGUGUGUCUGCAUGGCUCUCAGGAACAUAAACCAAGCACUUUUACUUGUUAUAAGCACGUUUACUGUAUUUGUUAUAUAUUUCCUGCAUACUCACACCCCUCAUGUACAUGGUAUUUGAUUCAUGUGUUAUCUGCAGUGUGUCCUUCUAGGACACAACAGGCUGAAGUUCAAAGAUUAGUUCUGUGUGCCGUUAUACCGGUGAGGUUGAGACUGCUGCUUUCAUGUCAUCUGCUUUUGCUGAAAAUACAUUUUUAGAAAAGUCCUUUCAGCUGAGCAGUGUGGUGCUGGUGACUGGACUUAUUAAAGCAACUCAUUGGCGAUUCUCUUCUGAAGAGCUUUAAAACCCCUGAAAAGCUGUGUUCUUGCAUUAGAAUCAUUAGACGUUGAAGUCUGUGCCUAGUGGGGACACUAUCUUGCCAUGUAGGCUUGUCACCAUAUAUUCAAUAUAAAUUGCAGAUAAUCCAUAUGAGAAUCCAAGAUUCCCAGUACAUUCACUGCUGGCGUUGCUCUCCAACAUUACACCAUCCAUGGUGAUAUUAAAUCAACAAAUGAUUUACUAAUGUAUGUCGAAGUGCAUUUUUGUUCUUGUUGUUAAAAGUCUUUAAGAGCAGUACUUUGUGAGCAGAUUUAAAAUACGACCAAUGCAGUAGGCCCAUGUGUUGAUUGCAUCACCAUAGCUUUAUAUCAGCAUUAGGUUCUGAUUUGAAACUGCAUUUGGUUUAUCCUCCACCAUUAUUACAGUAAUUAACAAAUGACUGUCCAUCAGCAGUUGUUCCACGUUUAAAGGUCACUGGAAAACUGUUCAUUUUACAGAGGCUAGAGUCACAGACAAUGUUUAGUUAAAACUGGCUCUAUUGUCUCUGUGGUGCCCCGGGGGUGGAUGGGAUGGUUGGGGUGGCUGUUUUUCCUUUGUUAAACACCUCGGAUUGGGUUAGAAAUGUGUGGACAUACUUCCGUGGGUCCAGUGGAAAUAUUUUCCUGUUGUCAUCAUAGGUACAGUCCUGCCUGAGGGGAAAUGAUCUCUGGCUCAGGGAUAAACCUGUCAGAAUGUAUUUUGGUUUGACUACACAUGUACACUGUAUCGCUGAAUAUAUCGCUGAAUAGUGGAAGGACUUAAAGCAGUAGUAACAAUAGUAUAAGCCCUGUGAAUGUGAGUUCACUGUACCUAUGCCAAGAGGUCUGGAUAACUGUGGGGUUGCUGGUUCAAGCCCCACUCCAUAGGUUCUCCAUAAAUCACUACAAUGGUAUUGAUUUGAGUGCAAUGUCUAAAAAGCACCUGAAAGAUAAAGCUAUUAAUAUUAGUAGCAAUCCUCACUUUACAGAACAUGUUCCUGCCUAGUUAAAUAAAGGUAAACAAAAAUAAAUAAAAAAUAUAUAAAACUGGUUCAACUUUGACUUCUGAGUCAUCGGGGGACAUUGUUGCCAUAGUGACAGUAUGUUGUGUAUUGUACAGAAAAGGUGCAUCCAAGCGUGUUGGUUUUGAACAGAGAAUGUAUGUGUAUGCCAAUGUUAUUUAUAUUAGCUUAGAAAACCUAUAAUCAACUGCAUAUUUCUGUAUAUAAUUUACCAUGUAGUGUCCUGCUGACAUCCACACAUAAAGCUCAUUCCAAAUCAAAUAAACAGCAGAUUUCAGUAGGAUAUCCAGUAAGCCUCCCUUUGUCGUAGUGGGAUCUCGAUGUUACCUCCUCUCCUUGGUAGAGCAACAUGCUCAAUGCCUGUGUAUUUGAGGGAGGAGAUAGGAUGGUUAGCUUCAACAAAGUGAGCUGCUACUGGAUAGUCAAUGUUCGUAUCGUAUACCUGAUUGAGUUGCGGUGUUCAGCUAUGUGUUGUUUUAAUUGUAUUUUCGUUUGUCCUACGUAGGCUUUUCCACAUGAACAGGUGAUGAGAUAGAUUACUCCCUUGGUCUUGCAUGAGAUGAUACCCCUAACAGGGAUUUUUCAACCUGUAUAGUUCUCAAUCAGUAAACAUCAACUUUACAAAACCCACACUAAAACUAUGACACUUGAUACUACAUAUCCACAGUUGUUUCCUGUCGCCUUCUCUUCUCACAUCUGCUCUGACAUGAAAGAACAGCAUUGGCACAGAUCAAAACUAUUUCCAAUUAGGUCUCCACCAUAUUUCUCUCUUCUACACUGUAUUUACAGUUAGUGAAAUUUGAGAGGAGAAGAGACCACUAUAGACUAUUGAGAUGCAGGAGAGGAGACCACUAUAGACUAUUGAGAUGCAGGAGAGGAGACCACUAUAGACUAUUGAGAUGCAGGAGAGGAGACCACUAUAGACUAUUGAGAUGUAGGAGAGGAAACCACUAUAGACUAUUGAGAUGCAGGAGAGGAGACCACUAUAGACUAUUGAGAUGCAGGAGAGGAGACCACUAUAGACUAUUGAGAUGUAGGAGAGGAAACCACUAUAGACUAUUGAGAUGCAGGAGAGGAGACCACUAUAGACUAUUGAAAUUCAGGAGAGGAGACCACUAUAGACUAUUGAGAUGCAGGAGAGGAGACCACUAUAGACUAUUGAGAUGCAGGAGAGGAGACCACUAUAGACUAUUGAGAUGCAGGGGAGGAGACCACUAUAGACUAUUGAAAUUCAGGAGAGGAGACCACUAUAGACUAUUGAGAUGCAGGAGAGGAGACCACUAUAGACUAUUGAGAUGCAGGAGAGGAGACCACUAUAGACUAUUGAGAUGCAGAAGAGGAGACCACUAUAGACUAUUGAAAUUCAGGAGAGGAGACCACUAUAGACUAUUGAGAUGCAGGAGAGGAGACCACUAUAGACUAUUGAGAUGCAGGAGAGGAGACCACUAUAGACUAUUGAGAUGCAGGAGAGGAGACCACUAUAGACUAUUGAGAUGCAGGACAGGAGACCACUAUAGACUAUUGAAAUGAAGGAGAGGAGACCACUAUAGACUAUUGAGAUGCAGGAGAGGAGACCACUAUAGACUAUUGAGAUGCAGGAGAGGAGACCACUAUAGACUAUUGAGAUGCAGGAGA